AAAAAUGACUCUCGGCAACGGAUAUCUCGGCUCUCGUUACGAUGAAGAACGUAGCGAAAUGCGAUACUUAGUGUGAAUUGCAGAAUCCCGUGAAUCAUCGAGUCUUUGAACGCAAUUUGCGCCCGAGGCCUCGGCCGAGGGCACGUUUGUCUGGGCGUCGCAU
rnacentral:rRNA from 1 species